rnacentral:lncRNA from 1 species
AAAAGUACAUUAAAAAUUGAAAUGUUCCCCAAUCCUAAUUAAAAGAAACCCAACCAAAAUAAAUGAGCUCAAAACUCCUUUAGAAACAUAAAAAAAAAUAAAAGAAAAAAAAGGAGCUCAUCUGUAUUGUCAUCCUCCCUUAAGAUUGAGUAAAUUUUAGGGACCAUCUUCAAGCAACCAGCGAAAUCACAGUCUAAUCUGGCAGAUCUGUCCACCACCGGUCUCUCUCCACCGUAUUAGCAAUAAACAUAGGUACUUCUUUUAACAAAUAAGUCAUUUCUCCUCUCCUUAUUCCUUCUGUAGCUAAGAGAUGUACUACUUCGUUCCCACAUCUCGAUGCAUGUCUGAAAAUACAUCUUCGAUAAUUCUCACUAAGUGAUCUCGAAUCCAUAGUAUAUGCACUAAUUUCAUAUCCAUCUUGCCUAUCUGCAUGAAGCAUUUUCACCAUUGUAAGCGCAUUAACUUUAAUCUCCAUAUUUUGAAAACCCAAAUCAAGGCCGAUCUGAACCUCCUGGAAGCAUGCAAAAGCCUCCGCAGCAAAAGCCAAAGGUAUGUGAUUAUCUAUUAUCAUACUGGAUCCUAACACCAAACCGAUCGAGUUUCUAACCACAAUCCUGGUACAUGACCUCUUUGUAUGGUUUUAAAAAGCAACAUCAUAAUUAAUCUUCAUAAAAGGGAUCUCCACGGCUUUCAUUGUUCAGUUUCCACCUUCUUAACAGGUAAUUUAUGGUUGGUUACAUCUAAUUCUCGAAUAUAUGAAAUGAUUAAAUUGGUUGUGUUCUAAACUGUCUGUCUGUUCUCUUCAUGAACUACUUUACUCCUUGUUAUCCAUAUUCCCAAAUUGCACAAGCCAUAAUCCUACAAUGGUCAUUUGAAUGAUUCGAAAAAAUAUAUGCCAACCACUCCUAAUAUUCUGAGUUUAAGACUUCAUAAGGCCAUUGAAUAUUUAACUCAUGCCAUAUAUCCUUUGCAGUGGAGCAAUCUCGAAAAAUAUGUUCUAAGUUUCAACUCUAUUGGAGCAUUUGGGACAAGUUACUGAACCAACCGUCUUCUGUAAUGUAAAUUGUUAAAAGUAGGAUGGAAAACUUGUCAAUUUGUGAUCUUCACCUUAGCUGGUAGAUCGAGUUGCCAUAACUUGUAAAAGAAUUUUCUAUCUGCUUCUCACUAUAUACUUACCCGAAGCUUCACCUCGCCAUACAAGUUUAUCAUCAUUUAGAACUCAAGCAAGGGGAAUGCAUAGGAUUCUUUCUGCUUCACCAUCACUAAAGGUACUUGACUGCUAUCAUGCAUGUGCGUUAAAACAAAUAAAUUUAUAAAAACUAUUUUUGAAAAACAGUUUUAACUGCAAACGUAUAGUGUCAGUUGUAAUAUUUAUAAUUCUGAUGGAACAUAGAGUAUUCCAAGGGGUCGAACUCAAGGGAGGAGGCAUUGAGCAACUCCUAGCUAAGAGCAGACAAAGAAGGAGUUUAAAAAAUUAAUCGCUAAAAGCUAUAUUACGAAAAAUUGUAAAAUAAAGAGUGAUUAAACUAAUUAUCUAUUAGCUACCUAAAGAAUUAAAUCGUAAAGGAUGCAAAGUUAUGAAAUUCACAAAUAACUAAAAAACGGUGGUUGGUUGAAUUUGAUGUGGUUCACUAAUCAUUCAAUUAAGACUCUAAAUUGCUUAAACUCCUAAAGUGGUUCCAUUUUACCUCUUGCUGUCAACUUUACCAAGUUAGGCAAAUUAGUCCGAUUUAUCUUUCGAUCUCGCUAGCUAACCCGGGACUAAAGAAUUGGUGCUCAACAAGAUUACCUCUCGAUCUCACUUGCCUGAAUAUUCCUUUAGGGUCAUCAAUCCUAAGUUUUUAUGUUCAUUCAAUUUGGUCUAUUUUUUGCAAUUUAGUCCUUUAACCAAAAAUUAGCUUAUUCGUAUCUCCAUCAACCAACCCCUUUGGAAGUUUAGUUACUCAUGUUAAAAGCUAAACUAACAAAGAUAAAAAUAACAACCAUGGAAGCCAUUGAAGAAAAUUUUAAGAAAAAUAAUAAAGUUGGGAUUUUUAAUGAGGAAAACUUAAAAGAAAAGAAAAGAUGAACAUCUAACAGUAAAGUAAGAAGCAAGGAACAUGAAAGGUAAAGGCUUUAACAAUUGAAACUAAAGGAAACUGAAAAUAUAUUAAACAAAUAUGAAAAUGUCAAUACAAGUAAAAAAUGGUCUAAAAGUGCAAUUUAACCCUAGUUACAGUAAUAACUAACUUUACUAACAAUAAGAACACCAAGAACGACAUCAAAUUGCAAGAGAAAUAAACACUAUACGAAGGAAGAAGAUGAUAAGAAGAAACCCUAGAAAAUGGGAAAGAAAACUUAAGAGAAAACUAAAGGAAAACUAAGCAAAAAGAUUAAACUAGUGUAGCAUUCUCUCUUCUCAGGCAAUUGUGAUUGAUUUAGCAACAUAUUCUAAUCCCUUUUUUUGACCAAAAUAUCCUUGAAUGGGCCUCCCUUGAUUGGUGCUUCGAUUGGACAAACAUUACCCCUAGCGUCAUUUUUUGUCCCCUCACGACAGUGAUAUUGUGAUACAUAGGGUUGGAUAUCGCAAUAUCGUCGUCAAUCUUGAAAUAAGGUAUUUCCUUGUCACAUGGAUAUCACGAUACCCAAGGAGGAUAUCACGAUACCAUUGUAGCCUGCCUUAAUCCUGGGAUUGAUGGGGUAUCGCGAUUCUACUAUUUCGAUGUCGUAAGACUCCUUCUUUGGUAAUGUUUUGUACAAAUUCGAGCCUCCGACAAGUACCUACAACACUAAAUCGAAGGUUAGGCCCCCUAAUGACAAAAUUGGCCAAUUUAGAUCUCAAAAAUGAGAAAAAUGAGGUAUUUACACUUAUUCAAAUGAAAACCUAAAAAAUAUGGAAAAUUCUUGCCAUUACUCAAAAACAAGCUACUUAAGUAUAACGAGAAAGCCUAAUUUGACUUAUCAAAUUAUAACAGAUUAAUGCUAUUAAUCAAAUUCUCUUUACAAAGUCUUGUGUUUGGAUGAAUCAGAUCCGUGACCAUAUAUAUAUUUGAGUUGCUAACAUUGCUCUAGAUCAUAUAGUCUGUGGAACUUGGAAUCCAAGCAUCAGCCCAAACUGAGAUUUUGGUCCUUGUUCCCACCCGCUAGCACAUACCUGUUUGGAGGAGCCCUCUUACGGCCCAAAUGCUUUUCCAGGUUUAUGAUGGGUGAGUUCCUAACCUGACAUUUAAAAAUUUUGAUUCCAAAUAAUAUUUAGCUUUCAACGUGCGUGUCAAUAAAGAAUUUGGUUGACAAAUCAGUCGCCACCCCUGUUUGGCAAGUAGUGCCAAAUUAUUUUUUUUAAACACCGAAAACCAUACCACUGUUCUCUUUAAGGCAUAAUCUAAUCCACCCACACCAAUGAAUUCCACACUUUCCAUGAUGUUUCUGCCACCAAAACUUGCUAAUAAUAUAUUCCAUAUCCAAACAAAGAGAAUUAGGCAACAUAAAACAUGACAUCCAAUAAUUCGGGAUAUUCUGUAAAAUAGCUUUGAUAAAAACUUCCUUGCCUCCUUGGGAGAGUUCUUUAAUACACCAACUAUUUAUUUGACUGUUUGUAACAGCUAGAUUUUAGGCCUAGUCGAAACAGCGGUUUUGGGAUCACAAAUCCGAUAAGGAAAAAUUUAUUUUUAUUAUAUAUUUAGGGUCUACGGUUUCAUGAAAUGAUUUUGUGAAAAUUUCGUUAAAAAAUUUCGACGUUUGGGCACUCAAUUUAGUUAAAAGGUCUAAAUUGUAAAAAGUGCAAAAGUUGAGUUCUACAUGUUAGAGGUUCUUAAAUGGAAUUAGACUAUUGUUUAAUUUUUUGGGACAAAAAUGGUUAUGAAAUAGGUGAAAUAAAAUAUUUUUAAGUUAGGGGCAUUUUGGUAAUUUAGUAAUUAAAAUGAAUUAAAAACAAAAUUAAAAGCCAAUUUUUGUCCAUCUUCAACUCCAUGGCCGAAUUUCACAAGGGGAAACCAUGGCUAGGGUUUUUCAAGCUUUCAAGCUCGAUUGUAAGUCUGUUCUAGCCCCAUUUUUAAUGAUUUUUACAUUUUUGAGAUCCUCGUAACUCGGUUUAGCUAUUUCUACCAUUAUUUUGAGCUAGGGUUGUUGUUUAAAAAUUUAUCCAUAGAUGAAAUACAUGUUUUUUGAUGUUUUAUGGAAGAAUAUGAAAGUUUGGAGUGUGAUAAACAACUUUUACUAAGUGAUUUUUUAUGAAAUUUCAUAAAAGGACCUAUUUGUAAAAGUUGUAAAAUAUGUGUAGAAAAUGUGAUUUAGUGAAAAUGUGGCUACUAUAAGAGGGAAUAUGAAUCGGCUAGGCUUGGGUAUUGAGAAAAAUGGAUACAUUUUAUUUUAUGAGCCUAGGGGUAAAUUUGUAAAUAUGUGAAACUUUAGGGGCAAAAAUGUAAUUUUUCCAUAAUAUGAUUUUUGGACUGAUUUGAAUAGUAUAAUAAUUUAAUAAGUUGAAUUUGAUAUUAUAGAUCAAUAAAAACAAAGUUCAGACUUAGAACGGGGGAAAAACGAGUAUUGGACGAUUUGGUCUUUUUCGCCAUUUUAGGUCGAGGUAAGUUCGUAUGUUAAUAAAUGUUAUUGAUUUGUGUUAAUUAUGCAAUAUUAUUAUAUAUUUGAUUAAAUUUUAAGAAUUAAAGUAAACAUUCGAAUUGAGUAAAAAAGUAGUAUCGAUCACGAUCGUUGCGUAGUGUAAUAUGAAUUGACGGUAAAAGACCGUGGUUAGACCAUAGCAAUGGGCUAAGUGAAAUAAGACCAUGACAUCUAAGUGAAAUAAGUCCAUGGCAAUGUGCUAAGUAAAAUAAGACCGUGGCAAUGUGCUAAGUGAAAUAAGACCAUGGCAUCUAAGUGAAAUAAGUCCAUGGCAAUGUGCUAAGUGAAAUAAAUCCACGGCAUAUAAGUGAAAUAAGUCCAUGGCAUGGUGCUAAGUGAGAAAUUUCUUAGUUGAACCUUAGGAAUAAAAUAACUUUGGACACAAGUGUGGUACUAUGUGAAGGCUACUUUGUGAAUAAAAUUGCUUUGGACACAAGUGUGGUACUAUGUGAAGCCACUUUGUGAAUAAAAUAGCUUUGGCUACAAGGAUGGUACUAUGUGAAGGCCACCGUGUAUCUAUUAUUAUUCCGAUGUGUUCAACGGGAAAUGACUAGGUGUAAUUGAAUAUGACUAUGUGAUGAAUAAGUGCAGGUACAUGUGUGUAAACUUAUGAGCAAUGUGCUCGAUAUGUGAUCGAACUUUGGUAAGAUUGAUAUGGAAUAAAUGUUAUAGUGAAAGUUACUACAAAGAAAACAUGAAAGAGUGAAAUUUAGUAAUAAAACAGUUUUGGACAACAGCAGUUAUAUGAAUUUCAAAAAUCACCAAAAAUGAUGAAAAUAGAAUUAUAGGUUGAAUAAGAUAUAAAACUAAAGCUUAUUGAGUAUAUUUUCACAUAAAAUAAAUAGUGUAAGCAAAAUAAUUUCAUAUUACGAGAUAUUUGAAUUUUUGUAAGACAAGGUUAGAAUAAUUUCGAAAUCCCCUAUUUUGACUUUGGAAAAUCAUUAAAAAUUGUAUAAAAAUAAUUAUUGGUUAUAUUUUAUAUUUUUAAAAUUACUAUUGAGUUUAUUUUCAAUAGAAACAAACAAGAAUAUCAUCUAAAUCUCAUACAAUGAGAUAAUUAAUUUUUAGUGAAAAAGGGUUGAAACUGUCAAACAGCAAAAUAGGGGAGACUUUAAAGAAUAAACUGUACUUAUUGGCUAGACCAAAAAUUCUGAAAAUUUUAUGGUAAGAAUAUAUGUGAGUCUAGUUUCAGGAAAAAUUAGCGGAUCUUAAUUUGAAGUUCUGUAGCUCAAGAUAUAAAUAAUUUAGUGACUGUGACUCGAGUAGAUAGCUUGAGGUGAACAAGAGUAAAUAGUGGAACUAUGUGCAAUUAUGAUUGUAUUAUCUUGAGAACAUAUUGUGAGUAUUGGUAAAAGUAUGUUAAUAAAUUUCUUAUUAUUUACAUACCAACUUACUAAACUAUAUAGCUUAAUCCGUUUAUUUUCUGUGUUUGUAAUGUCCUUAGGUUAGCUCGGGUUGGAAGUUGCCAGAGAACCUAUCACACUAUCAAACUAACAAAAUUGAUGAUUCUUAUACUUAAGGUCAUGGCAUGUAUAGGCGACUUCGUUAUUUUUGUAUGUGUCAUAAUUGUUUUGGCCGAAAAUGUUGGCCUAUGCUAUUUGAAAGUUCAUUGUUGUGUAAGGCCAUUUGAUGUUGGUAUAUUGGCUAUAUUAUAACUCCAUGAUAAUGCAUUUCAAGGAUGUGUAUGCAUACAUAUGUGGAUGAAUGAGUGGUGAUAUCUAUGUGUGACGUAAAUUUGUAUGCAACAACAAGUCAGAUUAGUGUACGGGCUAGGGACAUGGCCAUGCGAGCCACACGGCUAUGUCCUAAUAUCACACGAGAGUGUGCCCCUAUUUUCCAUGAAAUUUUUCAAAGUUUUCUAAAGUUUUCAGUUUGGUCACGAACCAUUUCCAAAGCAUAAUUUGGGCUUUGUAGGCCCAUAUUAGGGACUUUAAGAUGAAAUGUGAAAUGUUUUAAAUUUGAACGCAAAUUCAUGACCCGAUUUUAUAUGAUUGCAUAUGUCUAUGUACGGUAAUGCCUUAUAUCCUAUUCCGGUGUCAAACACGGGUAAGGGGUGUUACACUGCUCACCCAAUCUUUCAGCAAUUAGAACGCCAUUCUUUUUUUUUUGGUCCACCAUAUUUAGGUGCCCAAGAUAUUUUUCCAGAUCCUAAGAGAAUCAAACAUUAAGGAUUUAGGAGACUAGUUGUUGUGUCUGAUCUAUUACAUUAGAGAUAUAAUAAAGCAAUGAAUUAUCAAAAUUAAUACAUUGGCUAGAACAAACAUCAUAUUCCCUAAGGGUAUUUUUCAAAGUAUUAGCCCCCCUCUAAGUAGCUUCACCAAACAUGACAAAACGAUCUGUAAAUAAUAAAAGAGAAAUCGAUGGUCCUCUACAACAUACCUUGGCUCCAAGCAAUAAACCUACCCAUCUUGCUAACCUCAUAAGGGAUGAUAGUCCUUCACUAGAAAUAAAAAAUAGACAAAGACUUAAAGGAUCUCCCUUACAUAGGCCUUCAGUAGCUUUAUUAACCUCUCCCACUUCACCGUUAAGGACUAUAGAGAACGAUAUAGUACUGAUACAGUGCAUAAUAAAGUCCAACCAUGAGUUGGCAAAACCCAUUUUUAGCAUCAUACUCCGUAAAAAAGACCAUUCAACCCUGUCAUAGGCUUUACUCAUAUCAAGUUUUAGCAUGAAAAAAACCUUUCUGUCCAUUCCUUCUUUGCUAAAAAACAUGUAAUACUUCAUAUGCAAGUAGGAAAUUAUUAGUGAUUAAUCUUCCAGGUACAAAGGUACUUUGUAACAGCCCGUUUUUAAGUCAAAUCAGAACAGUGGUAUCAGAACCACCGAUCUGAGGUCAAAAUGUUUAUUUUAUUAUUUUAUUAAAGUUUACAGCAUGAUAUAAUUAUUAUGUGAAAGUUUCGUAAAGAAAUUUUACUGUUUGAAUGGUUAAUCUGAGAAAAAUAACUAAAUCACGUAAAGCGUAAAACUUGAGUUCUAAUAAUUAAAAGUAUUAAAUAACUAUGAAAUUAAAUUGUGGGAGUCCUUAUGUUGAGAUUAAACCAUGAUUAAGUUUAGUGGACAUUUAUGUCCAUGGCUUAUGUGUUAUAUUAAGAUUUUAUUAAAGGUUAGUAUGGUAAUUACAUAAUAAUUUAGGUUAAUAAUAAUAAUAAUAAUAAAACAAAAUGGAACCAUUAGUGAAUAUUAUCAUAUUCAACCAUCCAUAGCAAAGAAGAAAAGCUAUUUAUUUAGGGUUCAAUCGGCCAUUACUUCUUUAGUUGAUUAAGGUACGGUUCUAGCUCGGUUUUUAAUAAUUUUUACGUUUUUGAGAUAGUUACUUCGUAUUCUAGCUAGCCCGUACCUUAGAUUUUGAAAUUGUUAAAGAUUUAUUAUGUUGUCAUUCUUGAAUGUUUGAGUAAUUUGACAAUUGAUGAUGGAUUUUAAAUAAUUGUUGAUAGUUAAACUAGUUUUGUAAAGUGAGUUUUGACAAAAAUGUCAAAAAGGGAUUAAAUUGUGAAAAUGUAAAAUUAGGCGGGUAAAAGUGUGAAUAAAUUGAAAAUAUAGGCUGCUAGUAACAUGUGGUAAAUUCGGUUAAGCAUGGAUAGUACUAAAUUGCAUGAAUUUACAAUUUUAUGUGAUAAGGGCUAAAUUGUAAAAAUAUAAAAGUUUAGGGGUAAAUGUGUAAAAUAGCCCUAAUAUAGAUCAAGAUAAGCCGAGAUCAGAUUUAGAUCGGGGAAAAGGAAAAGUGGACGAAUAGUUGAUAAUUUCCAUCCUAGCAAUUCAAGGUAAGUUCGAAUAAUUAGAAUCGAACUUUUAAAUACUUGAAAUAAUUGUAAUGAAUAUGUAUAAUUGAGUAGUUGAUAUAUUUGGAAUGUGAAUGCCUUAUCAAUAUAGUUUAAUUGUUACCAAGCUUCGUUUGAACCGUAAGAAUUCGUAGGAUACGAGUGACAUUUCACCAGUGUUACCGUUUUGGUUGAAAUCCUACAUGUAUUGCAGACUCACCUCAGGUCGUAUAAGCUUACCGAUAUAUCAGCUCGUAAGAACAUACUGUUCUCAGCUUAUACAAGCUUAUUGUUUCAGCUCGUUAGAGCUUACCAUUUCAGCUCAGGAGGAAUUUACUGUUCAUAACUCGAAAAAGCUGAAAAUGAUAAGGAAUUGAUGGAUUUCUGAUUUAUAUGUACUAUGUUUCACCCGAGUAUCCCUCGAGAUUCUAAUAGGUUCAACGGGCAUAAAUUUUGUGAUAUGGUAAAGUAUUGUUCAUACGAACGAAUUUCUAUUAUAUGAUUAAAAGUAAAAUGUUACAAAUGAUGUUCAUGAUAUAUGUGAGUUUGAUAUGAUACAAUGUAUUGAGUAUUUACAUUGAGAAUAUGGAUGAUUUCAUAUAUUUAGAUGGCUUACUUGUGAUGAAUGUUUGUGUUUAGGUAUUUGGUAAUUGAAUUGAAUACACUUUAAUAAUUGUCUUGAUUAUGUAUAAAUGGUAAGUUUAGUUCUGAAUUAUAUGGGCUUACUAAGCUAUAAAGCUUACUCUUUUUUUUUUCCAUGUUUUAUAGAGGUUCGAUAGCUCGCUUGUUUCGGAUAAGUCGGAGUUAUACAUCGCACUAUCCAAUUGCUGAUUGGUACUUUUGAACUUGUGGUUAUAUGUAAAUAUGACAUGUAUAGGCUAGUUAUAAUGGUGAAAAUUAUGGUCGCUUGAGAUUGUGAUUUUGGUACAUUUUGUGUUAUAAGUUUAAGCCAUGUGAUUUGGCUAAACUUGUUAUUAUGUUUGGUAUGUUUUGGCAAUUAGUUGAUGGAAUGGAAAUAUGCAAAUGUGUUUUGUUAUAUGGUAGGCUUAUGAACGGGAAAUGUAUGAUAUUAGCUAAGUAUUUGAAUACUAUGAGGAUAUGAUAUCAUAUGUAUAUGAAAUGUUAUGGAAAUGCUGCCAAUU